rnacentral:rRNA from 1 species
UACGUAGGGUCCGAGCGUUGUCCGGAAUUAUUGGGCGUAAAGAGCUCGUAGGCGGUUUGUCGCGUCUGCUGUGAAAUCCCGAGGCUCAACCUCGGGUCUGCAGUGGGUACGGGCAGACUGGAGUGCGGUAGGGGAGAAUGGAAUUCCUGGUGUAGCGGUGGAAUGCGCAGAUAUCAGGAGGAACACCGGUGGCGAAGGCGGGUCUCUGGGCCGAUACUGACGCUGAGGAGCGAAAGCGUGGGGAGCGAACAGG